UACGUAGGGUGCGAGCGUUAAUCGGAAUUACUGGGCGUAAAGCGUGCGCAGGCGGCGCCGCAAGUCAGGCGUGAAAUCCCCGAGCUUAACUUGGGAAUGGCGCUUGAAACUACGGUGCUGGAGUGUGGCAGAGGGGGAUGGAAUUCCGCGUGUAGCAGUGAAAUGCGUAGAUAUGCGGAGGAACACCGAUGGCGAAGGCAAUCCCCUGGGCCUGCACUGACGCUCAUGCACGAAAGCGUGGGGAGCAAACAGG
rnacentral:rRNA from 1 species